GAAAGCGGCUGCGUGGCACGGGGAGGGCCGGGGGGGCAUCCCCACCAACACCCCACACUGCCCUCACACACAUAGAGACCCUCCCUCCCGUCCCGGAGCUCGCUGAAGAGAUCCUCAACCCACCGCCGGAGCCCCACAGGGCCACGCUGCCACACGGACACUAUGGGGACAAGAAAGGCUCGAGCUGCGUAUCCAGAGAGUCUGGACUUCCAGGACCCACAGCAGUUUUGCCAGUGGGAGGUAUUUUGCACAGAGAACAACACCCCUCCUGUGUGGAUGAGGUCCCUGUAGCUCUGUGCCUGAGCUCCAGGCUGGUCUCUGCACUGAGGUUAUGAUGUGGGGGCACAAACAGCCAAGAUCACAUUUUUAGUACCAAAUAUAAUGUUUAUUUUUCCGUCUUUUGUCCAUACAGACUGUCUGAUAUCACAGUGCUACCAAAGCACCAUUACUCCACAGCUGCAGAGCCACAAGAAACAGCUUUAUAUUAAAGGGAACGAUGACAAGAAAACAAAAGCCCUUGGGCAAGGCUCCAGCUCACAUAUCCUGAUCUCUCCCUCAUUCUGCAGCUUUCUGGAGCUGUGGAAUGCAGCCACCCACAUUUGGCUGUUCAAUGGUGACCCAUCCCUGCCACCAGCCUGGUGGGACUCUUGCCACCCUGGUGUGGCAGUGCUAUGGCCCCCAGCCCCACAAGCACCAAGAAAACAGAGAGAUGAAUGGAUGCUUGAAUUGUGCCACCACCCUUUUUAACCCCUUAUUCCCCUGCAGGAGUAGGGGCAGGGCCAAGCAUUGCUCCUGGCAGACCCCUGGAGCACCCAGCCCUGAGCGCAACACUACCAGCACCCUCUGCUCAGCCCCAUCCCGCCCCUCUGCUGUUCCAGGCUGAGCAGAAGCCCCCUGCUUUGUGACCAGCCUUUGUCUCUUCCACGCACAGACCUCAUAUACACUGGCACAUACCUCUUCCCAAGGGGCUCUCAGCAGCUCAGGCAGCUCCUGAGCUGUUAGCAACUCCACUUCACGCACUGCUGGCUUUACAUGCCAGAACUCAGCACCUGCAAUGGGACAGAGAUAAUAAGCACAAAGGGAAGCUGCAAGGUGGAAUCAUGCCCUGCGCAAAGCAAGAACAACAGCGGCUGGAUGGGCUGACCCAGCGCCGUUCAGACUUCUGUUACAAUUUCCAGCCCAUAAUGGGAAAACAUCCCAGCAAUACUCAGAACAGCACAAAAUCUGAGUUGCCUUUUCCCCAGCCUAGCACGGAUGGAUGGAAAUGAGAAGGCAUGACCCGACUCAGAGCAGCACUGCAGCCCCACUUGGGGAGGGCAGCCCUGUGCCCUGGCUCUCCCUUGGCAGCUGAGUCACUGCCCUGCUCUGCCCCUGACCCCGCACUGCACGCGCCUGCCAAGCCCCAUUGCACAGAGCGGAACAUUCACGCUCUUGGGUGCGACAGCAGCCAGGCCCAGAUGACGCGGGGCUGUUGCAGAUCACUCCAUUACCUCAUCGUUGCAAAUAUGUUGAAUUAAAGUAACAACACAACUCAGAGCCCGAGUGGGAGCUGGAACAUGAAAUGGGGCUCAAACAACCAAAAGAGCAAAGGGCUUCCUGAAAUCUCAUGCAGUCCGACUGCCCUCUGCCAUAGUUUAAACAUAAUGCCCAACUUGAGCAGCUGGUGAUCUCAGUGCUCUCCUCAAGGGUGCCUCCAUCUCAUCUUCUCUCUGCUCUUGUGCAUGUUUAUUGAUUCUGGAGAGCAGGCAGCAUCCUUCCAUAGCUUGGGAGCUAGCAGCAGGCUUUCAUUUGAUGCAGGAGAUGAAAUCCUUAGAAACAGUGGAGGGAAACACCUUCAGAUCGGCUGUGCUCCAGCCUGCCAUCCUCUGGAGCUGUUGUUAGUGGGAAGGAAGAAGUUCCCACCACAGGAUCGGGGCUGGAAUAGACACUGUGUUCAAUGGGAGCAAACCCCCAAGGGGGAAGUGUAAGUCCUGCCUGGGGGCUGCCAGUGCCAAUACGAUGGGACUGACCAAUCUAUUUUUCCUGACCAACCCCGUGACCUUCUGUAAUGAUGAAACUGCACCAGAGGACAAAGGAAGAGUCACUGAUGUCGUCUCUUUGGACUUCAGUAUGGCCUUUGACAAAAUUAUUUGAGUCCACGAUUCCACAAACAAAGGAAAAGGCAAAACGAAAUGUUGGGGAUGCUCUGUGGGCCCCACGGAGCUCCCACGGCUGGGACACGGCUGGUGGCACACAGUGAGGACAGCAUGGCAGCAGGGCUGGCUGAGCACAGCGAACGUGUAGAACCUCCAUGCAGACACCAAGCAAGGAAGAUACAGCCUUGCAUUUGGGAGGGGGUGGUGUAAGGGAAGGGAGUGCUUAGGAAUAUAAAGCAGCAGCUGAACUGCUGCACAGACAAGAGAAAUUAACUCUUGCAAGGCUGAAAACCUUUCAUUAGCAAUUUGUCAAGCAGACUCCAGAAAUACUGAAAGCAGCUGUGCAAAACCACACGGGAGGGACAGACAAUAGGUUUAAAGGCCUUUCAGAGACUCUGCUGAUGGACUACGGUGAACCCAGCACGUCUCUUCCUGCACUGCAGGGGCACAGAGAUGGGAGAGCAGCUCCAAGGCUGCGCAUCCCAUGGGAGAGCAGCAGAGGAAAGCCGCUCCAGGCAAAGCAACAGCCUUCAACAGCCCCAUAUUUACCACCUCCCUUCCGUGUCUGCUAACACAAUGUCCCCUGCACAGUGUGGGCACUUCUAUGCGCUGGGUGUGCCUGCACCCUGUGCAGAGGGAUGCUGCUCUCCUAUCAGCAAUGUACCGAGGGGGGACCAAGCUCUGGGUCUGUGCAUACAACACAGAGAGCAUUCACAGCUGCCAGGCAGGCUUUGUGCGUUGAUCCCCUUGGGGCUCCAGCAGUGGACAGCGGGAGAGAUAUCCCAGCAGCUGGACUGCAGCGCAGCCAGGGCUGUGAAAGCAGUCGCCUGUGUUCAAUGGGCUUCUUGUCUCCAUCCUCCCUUUGGCACAGCCUCCCCUCCCUGACAGCCUUCUCUCCCCGGCAUAAGCCAGGGCAUAGCUGCCCUCCUGGCAGGUCUCAAAUCCUCCCUCCCCCCUCCAACAUCUUCUUUCCCCAGCAGUGUUUUCUCAUAUCCUCCCACCUUUUCCUUCCAUAAAUGUACUCAGUUGCUUUUUUGAGCCAUGUAACCUGUAAACACCCCCAGCAUCCUGUAUGGAGGAGUGCUGUGAAAUUACAGCUUUGCGUUUAAGCCUUCUCCACCUCGCCUCAUUCAUGCCUCAAAGUGUCUGUGGCAGGCACACAAACACCUCCAGUGAAUGACUUCAUAUAGAUCCUUUGUGUCCCUCUUCUGCAUUAAGCACUCCCAGGUCUACCCAGCCAUCCUUGCUGCACUUUUCCAGCUCAUUAUGUCUCCCCUCGGGCAGAGGAUCCAGCACUGCAGGCAGCAUCCAAGAUGCAGGCACACAGCACAUUUAAGACUAAAAAAAGCCACUGCUGUGCCAUGCCCUGAUGGCUUCUCCUUCCUUUCCUUCCCAGGGAUUCCUACGUCUCACUUGGGGCCAUUCCUGGAGACACCCAAGGUCAGGCUGGACAGGGCCUCAGAGCACCUGAUGGAGCUGUAGGUAUCCUUGUUCAUUCACUGCAGGGCUGGAUGGCCCCGAAGGGACCCUUCC
rnacentral:lncRNA from 1 species